UGGUGGAGCGAUUUGUCUGGUUAAUUCCGAUAAUGAACGAGACUCUGGCCUAUUAAAUAGUUCGCCGAUUCCGAUCUGUCGGCGUUAACUUCUUAGAGGGACAAGUGGCUUUUAGCCACGCGAGAUUGAGCAAUAACA
rnacentral:rRNA from 1 species